UGGGGGGGAGAGGAGAGAGGGUAGGAAGGAAAAAAUUGGAGGUAGGGUGAGGGAAGGGGGAGGGUUGAAGGGAAACUAAUGAAACAGAGGACAAAGGAGAAUAACAAGUCAAAAGCAAUGCAUGUAAAUACAGAGCAAGCAAGUAGGAAAGCUAGGCAUAGCACAGCAAAAGAGAGCACAGCAACAGAAGGCAAAGAAUGACAAAAAGCAACCUUGCAGGAAUGGAGGACUCUGGCCAGAGCUGUGCCCCUGCUUGCCACAGGAGCUGCGCGGGAGGAGAAGAAUGUGGGCCAAAAGGAAUGGAGGACUCUGGCCAGAGCUGUGCCCCUGCUUGCCACAGGAGCUGCGCGGGAGGAGAAGAAUGUGGGCCAAAAGGAAUGGAGGACUCUGGCCAGAGCUGUGCCCCUGCUUGCCACAGGAGCUGCGCGGGAGGAGAAGAAUGUGGGCCAAAAGGAAUGGAGGACUCUGGCCAGAGCUGUGCCCCUGCUUGCCACAGGAGCUGCGCGGGAGGAGAAGAAUGUGGGCCAAAAGGUAAGAGGAGCUCCUUUGGGUUCUGGGCUUGAAGCAAAGCUGAGAAGCCAUGCCCGGGAGGAGGUGUGGGUAGCUACAGGCCACUUGCUAUCUCCCCAAGAGAUGAGGUGUGUGGGCUAGGCACCGGGCAGGAGUGCUGGCCAGAAGCAAGCAUCUCUGUGGAGGAAGGCAAAGGGCGGAGGAGGUUCAAGGGUAGCUACCGGGCAUGGCCUUGCUCAGCAAGGGGAGGAAAAGCGUGAAGGGCACGAGAAGGGGACAGAGAAGGGCAGGCAGUAGGCGUGAAGCUGUGAGCAGAGUAGAGAGCAACUUGGCAGAGCAGCACGCAGAGUAGGCAAGUGUUGGGGUUUGGCGUGAGUAGCAGCAAAAGCCCAUAGCAUCAAGGAGCAGGAAGUGAGGAGAAGGUAAGUGAAGGGCAGGCAAAGGUACUGGGAGGCAAAAGGCAAGGGGAAAGGGGAGGGUAAGGGAGAAGAGGGGAUGGGGAGGGGAGGGGAUGGGUGAAGAGCAGAGCGGAGGGAAGGGCUGAGGGGAGGGCUGAAGGCAAACCUGUGAUGAAAAAAGAAAAGAAAAGAAAAAAUAAGAACAAAAAAUAUGAAAAAAGAGAAAAAAGAAAAGAAAAUAAGAAAAAGAGAAAAAAUGAAAAGAAAAAAAGAAAAAAUGAAUGAAAAAGAGAAAAAAGAUAAAGACAAAAGAAAUUGAACAAAAGACAAAAAAGAGAAAAGAAAGAAAGAAAAUGAACAAAAAAGAAAAAAAAGAGAAAAGACAGAAAAAGAAAACGAAGAAAAGAGAAAGAAAACAAGAGAAAUAGAAUAAAAAAGAGAAAAGAAAAAAAAAGAAAAAGGAAAAAAGAAAGAAAAAACUAAUAGAUGAAAACAGAAAAACAAACAAAAAACCGAAUAAUGACAAGAGAAGAAAGGUAAAGAGAAAAGAAGAAAAAGCCAAGUGAAAAAGUAAAGAAUAACUCAAGGAAGGAGUGGAUGGCAAGAAAUACAGAGAAAGCAAUGCAUAGCAGAGCAAAGGAAAGCAAGGCAAAAUAGCAGCCAAAGCCACGAGAAUCAAGAAGUCAGUGAAGAGCAGGAAAGGUAAGUUUCCCUUAAAGCAAGGGGGAAUGGUAGUGGAUGGGGGCAAAAGAGGGGAGGGGAGGGGGAGGGGAAGUGAAGGAGAGGGGGGAGAGGGGGAGGAGCAGUGGGGCUAGAGGGGGGUGAG
rnacentral:lncRNA from 7 species